rnacentral:rRNA from 1 species
CACGUAGGGUGCGAGCGUUGUCCGGAAUUAUUGGGCGUAAAGAGCUCGUAGGCGGUGUGUCGCGUCGGCCGUGAAAACCUGCAGCUUAACUGUGGGCUUGCGGUCGAUACGGGCAUCACUGGAGUUCGGCAGGGGAGACUGGAAUUCCUGGUGUAGCGGUGAAAUGCGCAGAUAUCAGGAGGGAACACCGGUGGCGGAAGGCGGGUCUCUGGGCCGAUACUGACGCUGGAGGAAGCGGAAAGCGUGGGGAGCGAACAG